CCAAUAGCGUAUAUUAAAGUUGUUGCAGUUAAAAAGCUCGUAGUUGAAUUUCAGGCCUGGCUGGACGGUCCGCCCUUCGGGUGAGUACUGUCUGUGGUCGGGUCCUACCUUCUGGCGAAGCGUCAUGGCCUUAACCGGCCGUGGCGGGGAACCAGGACUUUUACUGUGAAAAAAUUAGAGUGUUCAAAGCAGGCAAAUCGCUUGGAUACAUUAGCAUGGAAUAAUGGAAUAGGACAAUGGUUCUAUUUGUUGGUUUCUAGGACCGUUGUAAUGAUUAAUAGGGAUAGUUGGGGGCAUUAGUAUUCAAUUGUCAGAGGUGAAAUUCUUGGAUUUAUUGAAGACUAACUACUGCGAAAGCAUUUGCCAAGGAUGUUUUCAUUAAUCAAGAACGAAAGUUAGGGGAUCGAAGACGAUCAGAUACCGUCGUAGUCUUAACCAUAAACUAUGCCGACUAGGGAUCGGAUGAUGUUAAUUUUAUAAUGACUCAUUCGGCGCCUUACG
rnacentral:rRNA from 1 species